CGGGGAGUGGCGCAGUCCGGUUAGCGCGCGUGCUUUGGGAGCACGAGGCCGGGGGUUCAAAUCCCCCCUCCCCGA
rnacentral:tRNA from 2 species